rnacentral:rRNA from 1 species
AUGGGAAGCUUGCUCCCCUGAUGUUAGCGGCGGACGGGUGAGUAACACGUGGGUAACCUGCCUGUAAGACUGGGAUAACUCCGGGAAACCGGGGCUAAUACCGGAUGGUUGUCUGAACCGCAUGGUUCAGACAUAAAAGGUGGCUUCGGCUACCACUUACAGAUGGACCCGCGGCGCAUUAGCUAGUUGGUGAGGUAACGGCUCACCAAGGCGACGAUGCGUAGCCGACCUGAGAGGGUGAUCGGCCACACUGGGACUGAGACACGGCCCAGACUCCUACGGGAGGCAGCAGUAGGGAAUCUUCCGCAAUGGACGAAAGUCUGACGGAGCAACGCCGCGUGAGUGAUGAAGGUUUUCGGAUCGUAAAGCUCUGUUGUUAGGGAAGAACAAGUGCCGUUCAAAUAGGGCGGCACCUUGACGGUACCUAACCAGAAAGCCACGGCUAACUACGUGCCAGCAGCCGCGGUAAUACGUAGGUGGCAAGCGUUGUCCGGAAUUAUUGGGCGUAAAGGGCUCGCAGGCGGUUUCUUAAGUCUGAUGUGAAAGCCCCCGGCUCAACCGGGGAGGGUCAUUGGAAACUGGGGAACUUGAGUGCAGAAGAGGAGAGUGGAAUUCCACGUGUAGCGGUGAAAUGCGUAGAGAUGUGGAGGAACACCAGUGGCGAAGGCGACUCUCUGGUCUGUAACUGACGCUGAGGAGCGAAAGCGUGGGGAGCGAACAGGAUUAGAUACCCUGGUAGUCCACGCCGUAAACGAUGAGUGCUAAGUGUUAGGGGGUUUCCGCCCCUUAGUGCUGCAGCU